AUUGAACGCUGGCGGCAUGCCUUACACAUGCAAGUCGAACGGCAGCGCGGGAGCAAUCCUGGCGGCGAGUGGCGAACGGGUGAGUAAUACAUCGGAACGUGCCCAAUCGUGGGGGAUAACGCAGCGAAAGCUGUGUUAAUACCGCAUACGAUCUACGGAUGAAAGCAGGGGAUCGCAAGACCUUGCGCGAAUGGAGCGGCCGAUGGCAGAUUAGGUAGUUGGUGAGGUAAAGGCUCACCAAGCCUUCGAUCUGUAGCUGGUCUGAGAGGACGACCAGCCACACUGGGACUGAGACACGGCCCAGACUCCUACGGGAGGCAGC
rnacentral:rRNA from 1 species